AGAGUUUGAUCCUGGCUCAGAUUGAACGCUGGCGGCAUGCCUUACACAUGCAAGUCGAACGGUAACAGGUCUUCGGAUGCUGACGAGUGGCGAACGGGUGAAUAAUACAUCGGAACGUGCCCGAGAGUGGGGGAUAACGGAGCGAAAGCUUUGCUAAUACCGCAUACGAUCUACGGAUGAAAGCAGGGGACCGCAAGGCCUUGCGCUCAUGGAGCGGCCGAUGGCAGAUUAGGUAGUUGGUGGGAUAAAAGCUUACCAAGCCGACGAUCUGUAGCUGGUCUGAGAGGACGACCAGCCACACUGGGACUGAGACACGGCCCAGACUCCUACGGGAGGCAGCAGUGGGGAAUUUUGGACAAUGGGCGCAAGCCUGAUCCAGCCAUGCCGCGUGCAGGAUGAAGGCCUUCGGG
rnacentral:rRNA from 1 species